UAAAAAAAUAAAUUGAGUGAAAAUUCCAAGUCAAUGUCAUUGAAGUGAGGACAUAACGAAUAGUUAGUUCUAAAAUUACUCUUACUGAAAUCAAGAAUUGAUCUGAAAUAAUUUAAUAUCUGGUUGGAUGUCAAAGACCGGCGAAGCAUAGAAGUCAGUCUAUGGAAGACCAGUUGGUGCGUUGGUGUUCUUCCUUAUUUUGGGAAAUAAACGAAUUCACGCAACUGGAAGGACGAUCAGCGCCAACAUCCGACGAGAACUGGAAUUCCAAUACAAUCAAUAACAGUGACCAUAUCCAGAAAGGAUCGCUAGAUUUGUCAACGCCAGCAGCAGCGCUGUCGACCACUGCUCCCAUAAUCAAUAUUACCGAUUGUGACAAUCCCCGAAGACAGGUAAUCAUGUAUGACAACGUCAAACUCUGGCACGCCACCGCUAUCGUUAACAUAAGAAUUCCCGAAGUAUACGCCAAAUACGACUAAAACGCCAAUUUUUAAAUCGAAUAUGUGCACUAGG